UUCUAUGGAAACCUAGGAUUUACUGAAGGUUGGUGUAUUCUUUCGCGAGAGUAGAUUUCAGGUGGUUUUGUUGUUGUUGUUGUUUUAAUGAAAUUAUCAGAUUAAAAAAAAUUUUUUUUAGAAAUAGUAUUUCUGUUCUCUGACCCCCCAGAUUAUACUCUCUUCCACACUCUACAACCUUGCAUUUUUUUCCAAGUACAGUCAGGGCCCUUGACACAAAUCCAAAAGGAGAAAUGUUUGUCUGCUCUCAGGUUUUAACUAUAGAGUCUUGUUAUUUACAGGAUCAGUUAUUCAGUACACUUGUUUUACUGUAAUAAGGAAAAAAUAUGAAAAGGGAAAAGAAAAUGUUUUACAAUUUCUGUAGUUCACUCCCAAAUCUUUCUCCUUAGCAUUUGCUUCUUUAUCUUAACAUCAUUGCAUUUUAGCUGGAAGGAAGCCUCUUGUCCAACCUGUUUCCUUUAACAGAAAACCAAGCUGAGGCCACGUGAGGGACAUUGGCACCAAGCUGGAAGAUCCAGUCAAUGAAAGGACUUGAACAAGUUUUGGCUCUGAGAAGUUGGAAGGAUAAAGCUGACAUCUACUGAGAGAGGGAAGGCUAUAUGAAGAGCAGGUUCAAGGUGAUGUGUUAAGGUCGAGAAGACUGAAAUAACUGUGUGAAGAUGCCAAGCAGGUGGUUGGUUAUGCAAGACUGGAAUUCAGGAGAGUGAUCUGGUUUGGAGAUACACAUGCAGUGAAAAGAUGCUAUUUAAAAACAGGAAACUAGAUGACAUCUCUAGGAGAGUAGAGAUUCAGCAGAGGGUGAAGCACCACACUUGGGCCAUCCAAUAUUGAUGAGGACAUGAAGAUGAAGUAUCAAAGAAGACAGGCAAUGGCCAAGGAGCUUGGCAUCCUGGCAGCCAAGAGAAGAAAGUGAAGGA